rnacentral:rRNA from 1 species
UGGAAAGAAUUUCGGUCAAGGAUGGACUCGCGGCCUAUCAGCUAGUUGGUGAGGUAAUGGCUCACCAAGGCGACGACGGGUAGCCGGCCUGAGAGGGUGACCGGCCACACUGGGACUGAGACACGGCCCAGACUCCUACGGGAGGCAGCAGUGGGGAAUAUUGCACAAUGGGCGCAAGCCCUGAUGCAGCAACGCCGCGUGAGGGACGACGGCCUUCGGGUUGUAAACCUCUUUAGUAGGGAAGAAGCGAAAGUGACGGUACCUGCAGAAAAAGCACCGGCUAACUACGUG